GGGCGUGGCCAGUCUGCUCGGACCAAUCAGAGCUCAGGGUGAACUUUGUAAACAAGUCUUCCACGCUGUUUUCUGGAUCGUUGCUUUUCUUUUACUACGGAGAGACGCCGCGGUGCUGCAGCCCGGGAGGAGACGAGCUACAAACAGACGUCAAUACAGAUGUUGAAAUCAAACCUCACUCACAAAAUAUUUCUGAAGACCAGAGGAAUAAUGCAGAGCAGGGAGAAGCAGCACCAGAAAGCCUGCUGUGACCCACAUCACACCUCAUGCUGGGGUCACGGUCUUUCCUGGCACACCUGAGUGACAUCACAAGCAGAGCUGAUGAGACCAGCAGCAGGUGGAGAAGUCCAAGUUUUCAGCGUGUGCCAGCCAGUCAGCUGAGAGGGAGGAAAACAAGAUCUGAGGCCGGCAACGCGUCAGAACUGGGACAAAGACGAGAGAGAAAACAAGGGAGAGCCCCGCUGAAUGACAGAGAUAGGAACCAAUGCAGAAAAGUGGCGCCGAGUGCGGAAGAUGUUGCUUUGAAGCUCGUUCCAGGUGUUUGUGGAUUGCAAAUAUGGCAAAGUAAGAUAGCAGGCAGAGGCAGGAUGAGGCCAGACGUAGGUAAUGACAGGUGUAUUACAGCCAGGUAACUCUGAUUCAGCCUCCCUUUGAUAUCCUGAUCAUCCAGCUGAGUCAUGUAUGAAUGAAAAAAAUCACUUUAUUAUUCAGAUUGUUGUGUCUGAUUCUCUUUCUUCAUCAAAUUAAACUGGAUGUUCUCCUAAAGCUGGAAACUCA